AACGAACGCUGGCGGCAUGCCUAACACAUGCAAGUCGAACGAUUGCCUUCGGGUGAUAGUGGCGCACGGGUGCGUAACGCGUGGGAAUCUGCCCUUAGGUUCGGAAUAACAGCUGGAAACGGCUGCUAAUACCGGAUGAUAUCGCGAGAUCAAAGAUUUAUCGCCUGAGGAUGCGCCCGCGUUGGAUUAGGUAGUUGGUGGGGUAAAGGCCUACCAAGCCGACGAUCCAUAGCUGGUCUGAGAGGAUGAUCAGCCACACUGGGACUGAGACACGGCCCAGAAUCCUACGGGAGGCAGCAGUGGGGAAUAUUGGACAAUGGGCGCAAGCCUGAUCCAGCCAUGCCGCGUGAGUGAUGAAGGCGCUAGGGUUGUAAAGCUCUUUUACCCGGGAAGAUAAUGACUGUACCGGGAGAAUAAGCCCCGGCUAACUCCGUG
rnacentral:rRNA from 1 species